CGAACGCUGGCGGCGUGCCUAAUACAUGCAAGUCGAGCGGAACCAUUGGAGCUUGCUCCUUUGGUUUAGCGGCGGACGGGUGAGUAACACGUGGGCAACCUGCCCUGCAGAUCGGGAUAACUCCGGGAAACCGGUGCUAAUACCGAAUAGUUUGCGGCCUCUCAUGAGGCUGUACGGAAAGACGGUUUCGGCUGUCACUGCAGGAUGGGCCCGCGGCGCAUUAGCUAGUUGGUGGGGUAAUGGCCUACCAAGGCGACGAUGCGUAGCCGACCUGAGAGGGUGAUCGGCCACACUGGGACUGAGACACGGCCCAGACUCCUACGGGAGGCAGCAGUAGGGAAUCUUCCGCAAUGGACGAAAGUCUGACGGAGCAACGCCGCGUGAGUGAAGAAGGUUUUCGGAUCGUAAAACUCUGUUGUGAGGGAAGAACAAGUACCAACUAACUAUUGGUACCUUGACGGUACCUCACCAGAAAGCCACGGCUAACUAC
rnacentral:rRNA from 1 species